rnacentral:sRNA from 1 species
UUCUCUGGUGAUGCCCACAUCGGCCUCAUGAGAUAGUUAAUUUAAGAAUCAUAUAACUGAGAGGAGAUUGGAAGUUUAGAGGAGACAUAUUAAACAUAAGCAUCUUCAAGUAUAGCAUUCUCUUGAAAGAGUGGGUUGGACUCAGGACAGUGACAAGAUAUCAGAAACCACCCUAAUCCAACUUCCUUCAGGAUUGGCGUCCUGUCCUCAGAGGCACCCUGAAACGGAAGAGCAGCAGUGGACCAAACAGUAACUCUUGUGGGUACCAUUCUUUCUGAGAUGUGGAAGAGGAAGAAACUAAGAGAAAAACAGGGAUAACUGUGAUCCACUCUCAAGAACUGGAUCGAUUCUCAAGGCAAGAAGAGGGAGCGACGCAUGGGACUAUGAGCUGGAGACUCUGAUAGUCAUCCACCCACAGAGCAUUGGGGUGGAGUCAGUGGACUCAAACCCUCAGUGCACACAUGGUCUUUCUAGCAUCAGCGGGCAGGCAUAAGCUCAGACUGUGGCUUCGACAUGAAGAGAGUCUGCCAGAAAACCACACUCUGUAAUUCUGGGCAGAAGAGUUUAGUUCAGGAGGGAAAUGAAUAGCAAGGCUGGUGACCAUAAACCAAGCUGCUUACUCUCACCUACCAUAACUGGUAAUGUACCUGGUACAUUUUUAAUAGCUGGCUAAGCCCAAGAAUGUUCUUCAGACCAUUUUGUGAUUGUUGACACUCUGUGAACAGUUUAGUAUUAAUCUCUAAGCCUCUUUGAAGUUUGCUGAGUUUUUUUAAAAAAAUAAAACUAUGUGUUAUCUGUUUGUU